rnacentral:rRNA from 1 species
GACGAACGCUGGCGGCGUGCUUAACACAUGCAAGUCGAACGGAAAGGCCCUGCUUUUGUGGGGCGCUCGAGUGGCGAACGGGUGAGUAACACGUGAGUAAUCUGCCCUUGACUUUGGGAUAACUUCAGGAAACUGGGGCUAAUACCGGAUAGGAGCUCCUGCUGCAUGGUGGGGGUUGGAAAGUUUCGGCGGUUGGGGAUGGACUCGCGGCUUAUCAGCUUGUUGGUGGGGUAGUGGCUUACCAAGGCUUUGACGGGUAGCCGGCCUGAGAGGGUGACCGGCCACAUUGGGACUGAGAUACGGCCCAGACUCCUACGGGAGGCAGCAGUGGGGAAUAUUGCACAAUGGGCGGAAGCCUGAUGCAGCAACGCCGCGUGCGGGAUGACGGCCUUCGGGUUGUAAACCGCUUUCGCCUGUGACGAAGCGUGAGUGACGGUAAUGGGUAAAGAAGCACCGGCUAACUACGUG